GUGACAGAAGAGAGUGAGCACACAUGUAUUUUCUUGUAUGAUGUUUCAUGCUUGAAGCUAUGCGUGCUCACUUUCUAUCUGUCAC
rnacentral:pre_miRNA from 1 species